rnacentral:rRNA from 12 species
CAAAGCGGCCGCACUGGAGUGCAAAUGCAAGUGCCCAAUAACGCCUGCUCUUGGAAGCUAAGCGGGGUUGCGUCUGGUUAGUACUUGGAUGGGAGACCAACUUGAAAGAUCGGGGGCUGCUAUCC